rnacentral:lncRNA from 11 species
AUUAAAUCAUUUGCAUGGUGGUCAAUCAGCUGAUUCUCCUGCCACAAGGAGAAUUUGGAUAAACUCAAUGAUAUUCAGCAUAAUGAAGAACAAGACACUUCACUGACUGGCAAGUGAGAGUCAGCAGCAAAGAAAAUCCUGGCAAAUAACAUUCUUCUCUAUUAUGUCAGGAAGACACACACACAGCUACCUUAUUGACACAUAGUGUGGUAGAACAAAAGAAGAUUUGCAAUUUCUAUCUGUCUUGCAAAGAUUUUCCACUGUCUUUCAAAUGAAAAAAAUUAAUGGAAAAAAGAACCCCUUUGGCUUUCCUCUAUCCAUGCAUCCUGAAGAGAGGAAGCGGACAACAAUUGGAACUAGAAAUAUCUUUCUAAUGCCGAUCCGAAGAAAUCUAGAAACAGCAAAUAUUAUUCCAAUUGGAUGAUGUCUGAAAGAGAACCAUGGAAGUGGAAUGAAAGAACACGUCCAACUGAACUUUUCACUGCUGUAGCUCCCACUUCAUGUCCAAUGGAAAGCAAAGGCAUUAGCGAAGAUUCUUUCUAUGUCUCUAUAGCCAUACGUAAGAUGCUGAAAUCACCCUUCAUUAUGACUUCUCAGCCGUGGCCCCCUGACUCUGGAACUCCCUUCCCAGGAGAUUAGAUUAGCUCCCUCUCUAUCCUCCUUCAGGAAACAACUAAAGACUUGGAUGUUUUGGUUGGCCUUUGGUGAGACAGUCAUUAGAUAAUCAG